UACGGAGGAUGCAAGCGUUAUCCGGAUUUAUUGGGUUUAAAGGGUGCGCAGGCGGGAGAUUAAGUCGGCGGUGAAAUUUUGCAGCUCAACUGUAAAAGUGCCUUCGAAACUGGUUUCCUUGAGUGUAGAUGAAGUAGGCGGAAUUUGUGGUGUAGCGGUGAAAUGCAUAGAUAUGACGAGGAACUCCUAUUGCGAAGGCAGCUUGCUGGGUCGUUACUGACGCUGAUGCUCGAAGGUGCGGGGAUCAAACAGGAUUAGAUA
rnacentral:rRNA from 1 species